rnacentral:rRNA from 1 species
UUACUAUGCCAAUCCUCGUUCCGUUUUGUCAAUUCUUUCUCCGCUGCCCGCUGCUCGGCUUGCCCAGCGGCCGUGAGGAGCGACAGAAUUGGUAGGUAGGUAGGCAGUAGCGGCGGCUGCUACGCCGUCAGUUAACGGGGUGCUUGAGAAGGCGCUGUCUAUGCCGACAGCAGCCCCGCGGGACGAAGUUUUGGGUCUACUGGGGCGUCUGUUCAGUGCUGCUCUCGGCCGCCUGCCGUUACCGCAGGAGGAGGAGGGGCCGCCGAGGCAACGAGCAGGGAACCGCUCUCCUGGUCCUGGCCCUGCUGCGCCGGCGAGCCUCGCUGCCGCCCUCAGGCGCCCUCGUCCCCCACUACGUCUCGACCCGCCUCCGCUACGACGACACGACGCCGCUGCGCCUCUCCGACACCGCGUCCCACCACGACGCGUUCACCGACUUGCAGCCGCGGCCGAGGCCGCUGAGGCUGAAGUCGCGGCUGCUCCGGCUCCGGCUCCGGCUCCGGCUCCGUCUGCUGCUCCUCGGGCCGGUGGUUCUCUUCACGACGACAACCCUUGUGUUUGACAUACUACUCCUUUCCUCUAGCGCACCUGAACCACGCCCGUGCUAACCAUUAGUCCACUUCCGACACGGACUGUCUGGAUUUUCCACGUUAAGUCUGUGUGAAGUACGAGUCAUAUAGCUACAGCGACUUGAGUCCUAAAAGCAUCCCUGUACCUUACAACCUCCGUCUCAAGGUGGAUGACUGAAUCUGUAAGUUCUUACCGACCGGUACCUCCUCGGUCGACUAUAAAUACAAGAGCCUAAAGUUCUUUAACAGGGUGAUUUACGACCCUUAUAUAAGCCACGACUUCUACUGGUAGGUCAACGACAGACCCUUGUAUAGUAAGCACUUUGAAACUUAUUCGAUACAGGUAUAUUUGGUUUCGUAUUUACACAGUCACUAGGAGGAAGUGGUAGUUUCAAGUUAGGUAGUCUAAUAGAACACUACCUUCUACCGAAAGAAUCACUCCGGCUGUUACUUUCACUCCCCCUUGAAGUAGGUAACUAACCUGUUCUGUAAUUAGGUCAAUGAUUACUAUCACCGCAAACAUUUUGUAUACUUAUGGGGUGGAGACGAAGGUCACUUUCUCAAGUGCUUCCACUUCUGAAGUCCUUCUACGAAGGUCAAGUAGAAGAAGUCCUGUCGUGUAGUCAAUGAAGUCACUUCUGAGAUCGUCGAAGACGCAGAAAAUUUAGCUCUGUACUCUUAAGAUUACCAAAAGGUCUUCUAUUAGAUCUGGUACUACAAUCAUGGCUAUUAUCUCAGCAAUUCUCCUUUUUAAGUUUAAAACAUGCCUAUUAUUCGUUCGUUUACCACCCUUAUAUAGAAAGCCACACCCAAGUCUCUCCGGAAUCCUCCGUGUAAGUGUUAAACUCUCAUAGUUGACAUCCACAUCCGCGCUACCCAAUGUAGCCAUUGUUCCCUAGUUAUAGUCAGUCGUACAGAUAUAUAGUCUGUGGGAAAACAAAACAUACAACGGUGGACUGUAGACCACUUUUCCUACCUUUAGAUUGUUUCUCUUUACGUCUACAACUUCUUUAGGAAGCUUCUUGCUAUAAAUUGGGUCAAGUAUCUCAGUCGUACGGAUUCCCUUAUGUACUGGUACUUUUCUAAUAUACCAAACCCCUAGAGUUGAUGGCUUAGUUGGAUAGUAUACUUUCUUGUGUACUCGAAUAGAGGUCUGUCCUUACCCUAAAUAACAAACUGUUACUAGUCGAUUUUACCCUUGACUACUUUCCCGCAUGUAAACUGCCAACCUAGCUUCCCCACUAAUCGAAGGGGGGUUGUAUAUUUAUGCUUAAAUUAAGUCUAUUCAUACGCCCACUGCUCGGUUAUAGCCGCUCUUCUUCUGGACGUACCACGCUAGCCUAAGAAAGUAUACCUUUCCCGUAGUCCAACCUAAGAAUGUCUUCCCGCCUCGAAUUAGAAAGCCUAGUGGCGGGCCACACGCGCCAGAUGUACUGGCUCCAACUUCAAAAUACGGUGUCUUUCAAAGUCUUCCGAGAUUGUAAGUGGUUAGAUCUCCAGCUACUGGUAGACAAGAACCUCUCUACUUCGUGAACAACUUACUUCUUGGGACCUGACACUCUCUCGUACGUCAAGUAUCGAGUUCCGCGUUACCGGCUUCCCUUUACGGCCAUUAAAGUCUGUUCAAUGGUCUUACAUGUCUUAGUUUAUCCCCACCGUCAAACUACGUAUGAUCCCUAACCCCACACUCACACACAAAGGCUGGUUUAACCAGCAGGACAUUUACUUUUCUUCUUAUUUUCCAUCAGGCUGAGGAGUAUUCUCCUAGUUAACAAGUAUAGAUUGUCCUAGACGUCUCUUUACUCACUACAAGAAGGGGAAG